rnacentral:misc_RNA from 1 species
GAACUGCGAUACGUAGUGCGAAUUGCAGAAUUCAGUGAAUCAUCGAAUCCUUGUUCCAGCGAAGGGCGUGUGCAAGCCCGGUUUUGAAUGGCAACAGCAAUGGGAGAGAGGGUGUGAUGCAACAUCAUCACCAUGGACCCCAAUCCCCGCUAGCAACCGUUCAAAUAUCAGUUCAUUUUGGUACAAUAAUUUUGUCCAGGGGAAUAGAUCUCAGAUGAAGCGAGAAAACCCGCCGGACUUAA